CAAAAAAUACUCAUAAACUUCACUUUAUUGCACUGAAGCUUCGUUAUAAUUUAAAAUUUUCUUCAAUUUUCGUCAUCCGUGAUUUUAUUAUAUUCAAAACUUUUACAAUUUCAAUUACCAACUGACGCAAAUGUGGCCUCUUGUAAACAUUUGCUUGGCAAGCCGCAAAUAAAGUUUUAAGACUUACGACAAAUUCAAGGCCAAGCACCAUGCAAACAAACGGAAAAUUCGAGUGAAAAAUUUUUGCGGCGAAAAGUUAAAAAAAAAAAUGAUAAUAAAAUGUGACGUAAUUUUUACUUUUCAUCACUUUUUCUGUGACAGAGCUGAUUGAAUUUGCAUCAAGUUGCAAAGUUGUGCGUCAUAGCAAAAUUUAUAAUGACAACGCGGUUACUGUAAAAUUGUGGAAAUAAAUAUAUGCAAAAUUUUAAAUUCAGUAAUUACAGAAAAUGUUGGCACAUGCAAUUAUUUUAAGAUAUACGUUCCAGUAUAUAAUAUAUUAGAUGUUAGACAUUAAAUGAGAUUUUCGCAAGCUUCUCUUGAGCCGAAUUUUUCACCAGAAAAAUAAUUCGCCUUAGAUAACAUUAGGUAGAAAUCACUUGACAUCACCCAAUCAAGUUUCCGGAGUUCCUAUUGACCAAAGAUGACCAGUCCGGGUGAUUGCUUUAUGACGAUCCAACUGUUCACAGUACAGCCCCGAAUUGUUAGUUUGGCCAUGGAGGAGUAGCUUACAUGUAGUAGAUGAUCCCUACCAAUCCCACCAAUCAAUCCUGGAACACCGUUUGGGCCAGCUCAGCGCGAUUCGAGCAGCAUUGUUUUCGCUUGACUCUGUCGUAAGUGACCCACUAAUUCCAGCAACCAUCCGCUUCCGAAGUCGAUCGAGUUUUUGCGAUUCAGCAGCGAUUCACAUAAGAAAAUUUGAUACAUGUAGUUUUUUUGCGUUACCCCGAGAAGCAUCCAUACAUUGAGCUUAUUUUCGCAUCCAGCUUUAAGUAACCAAUGGUUAGACAUACAUGACGGCCGGGCUCAACGAUUUCCAUAAUUAUAUUCUCGCAUCAUGUAUCUGCAGAAAAAAACUAACCUGAAACAAAUCGAGAUACAUAUACCAUAUAGACAAAUGAUCAGACUGAUGAGUCGAGAUGAGUUUCAGCUGAUUGUCUGUCCGUCUGAACGAUCGAUAACUUGAGUAUAAACUGAGAUAUCGUGAUGAAACUUGGUAUAUAUAUUCGCAGAUAGGCGGAAGCAAAUCAAUGCCACGACCACAAAACCCCGUUACUCGAAAACAUAUAAACUGUUAUAACUAAGCUAGAAAUGAUGAUACUACACUGAAUUUUGGAAUAAGGGAUCGUAUUAUUGAGGGGAAUCUGUGCUUAAAACUUUUGAAAAGUGGGCAUGGCUCCUUCCCCUAACAAGUUUAAUGUAAAUAUUUCUAUAUCGACCAAACUUGCUAACAAGACAGUAUUUCGACACAAAAUGAUUGAAAUCGGAAGAUAACCACUCCCCAUAUAACGGUUAUGAUCAAAAAAGGAUGAUAUAACUCGUUAAGUUAAUAGGUUAGAAGCAUAAAAUUUGACAACUAAGAUGACACUUAAGAGUGACAAGUAAAGCGAAGCAAAAAUCAGACAUUGGUUGUGGCAUAUCGACCUAUCAGUGAAAUCCCAUAUCUCAGCAACUACUUAAUAUUAUUAUAUUUGUUUCCUUGUAUCACACUGUGGAAGUAGGUAAAAUCGGCCAGCUACCACGUUUACUUCUCUUAUAUCACAAUUUUAUAUUCCAUAUGAUUAUUUUACUUAGCAAUAUAUAAAUCGAGAGAAUAGGACGUUUCCAAAUAAAACUAUGAAAAUAAAACAAACGGAA